ACGAACGCUGGCGGCGUGCCUAAUACCUGCAAGUAGAACGCACAGUUUAUACCGUAGCUUGCUACACCAUAGACUGUGAGUUGCGAACGGGUGAGUAACGCGUAGGUAACCUGCCUGGUAGCGGGGGAUAACUAUUGGAAACGAUAGCUAAUACCGCAUAAUAUUGAUUAUUGCAUGAUAAUUAAUUGAAAGGUGCAAUUGCACCACUACCAGAUGGACCUGCGUUGUAUUAGCUAGUAGGUGAGGUAACGGCUCACCUAGGCGACGAUACAUAGCCGACCUGAGAGGGUGAUCGGCCACACUGGGACUGAGACACGGCCCAGACUCCUACGGGAGGCAGCAGUAGGGAAUCUUCGGCAAUGGACGAAAGUCUGACCGAGCAACGCCGCGUGAGUGAAGAAGGUUUUCGGAUCGUAAAGCUCUGUUGUAAGAGAAGAACGGGUGUGAGAGUGGAAAGUUCACACUGUGACGGUAUCUUACCAGAAAAGGACGGCUAACUACGU
rnacentral:rRNA from 1 species